rnacentral:rRNA from 1 species
CCUACGGGAGGCAGCAGUGGGGGAUAUUGGGCAAUGGGCGCAAGCCUGACCCAGCAACGCCGCGUGAAGGAAGAAGGCUUUCGGGUUGUAAAGUUCUUUUAUCAGGGACGAAACAAGUGACGGUACCUGACGAAUAAGCCACGGCUAACUACGUGCCAGCAGCCGCGGUAAUACGUAGGUGGCAAGCGUUAUCCGGAUUUACUGGGUGUAAAGGGCGUGUAGGCGGGAGUGCAAGUCUGAUGUGAAAAGCAGGGGCUCAACCCAUGGACUGCAUUGGAAACUGUACUUCUUGAGUGCUGGAGAGGCAAUCGGAAUUCGUCGUGUAGCGGUGAAAUGCUUAGAUAUGACGAAGAACCCCGAUUGCGAAGGCAGCUUGCUGCAGCGGAACUGACGCUGAUGCUCGAAAGCGCGGGUAGCGAACAGGAUUAGAUACCCCGGUAGUC